AUACACAGAUUGUCUGUAUUAGGAGUCAGGUGUUCUGAAUCCUGAAUUUACCCACAGCCAAACAAACAAGAUGGCGCUCACGUUACUUCUCAGAGUUCAAGGGUUCACAUCCCCUUCCUACAGAGCACCCUUCAUGCCCAAACAGGCCUCUCUAUGCCAGAGCACGAGGAGUCCCAGGAAGGAAGGAGAAAGUGGUCAAGUCCCGCCCUCUCUCCCUUUGCCACCUGGGCCGGAAAGCCACGCUGCUUGUUCCCCAGAGCAUCACAGAAAACCGUCAGCUCUGAGUAUACAUCAGAAAUUGCCUGCAGCUACCCUGCUAUGCCUAGACGCACCCUCCAGAAAGAAAUUCAAUGCAUUCAGAAGAUCAGCUCUCCUCUUACAUGAUGCAAAGAGGAUGUGAGCCUCAUGGUUUUCACUCCACACUUCUACAGGCCCAACGACUUUGGAAUUUUUACCCAUGGUCCACAAGCAAAUGAACUGAAGUGAUGAACCCAGUCUCCAUCACCACUCAGCUGCGAGAUCACCACCAGUCUCUAAAUGGGCUUUAACAGCUGACGGGAAAUCCAAACCAAGCCUCAGAAAUCAAGGAUUCCAGCUGGGGCCUGUUACAGAGGACAUUCUGUCCAUUUACCUGGAGAGUGAAUGUAGCGUCUCAACUCAGAGUGCUCACAUCAACCAGCCUCCCAAACUGGACCCAGGCGACUGUGGCCUGUCCCUCACUCUCUUGCUCCCUUAUCAAACGCUUGUUGAGCAUUUACUACGUGUAACCCCUGAACUCUGCAUGGUGUUUGAUAUUUAUACAUCAAAACAGUCUCUCCUAGUUGGAAAACCAGACGGGCAGUGAAUUCUUGGAUGGAGAACCAGUUAGGGAAAGAAACCUGAAAAUAUAAAUUAUCUGACAAGAUUUUCCUUGAAACCAAGCUUGAGGAAAUUUCAAAAAAUGUCUCGAGUAAGAUACAAAUGGAAAUUAAGUAUAGUAUCCAUUGUCACUAACUCAUGGUGUAUAGAAUAUCAGUGAUAUUCUCUUAAAAGCACAAAAUAUACCUUUUUGUGUUGGGCAAAUCUCUCAUAAGCAAAUUUCAAAGAGAACAUUUCUGGUGAAAUAGAUGAUGCUAAAAGUAUUUAUGUGAAAGAUGCCUCAGCUUGAUAACCUGUGAAGAAUGCCCAUUGUUCUUAAUCACAGUCUACUGAUAAGUAUUCAUUAAUUAUAAUAAUAUUUUGUGGGUCCAUGGAUCCUUUCAUCCCUAGUUUUCAAAGUGCUUUACAACUGGUCAUUAAUUCCUCCAACAUCCUAGGGACAAAUUUAAGGGUAACUUUCAGCAAAACUUGCACUGAUGCUCAGAAUGCCUUCCUCAGAAGUUUUAGACCCAGAGCGUGGUUUUGUUGCCUGAAUUCUUGGAAUGAGGAACAGCCGGUUCUCAAAUUGUACCCAGAGGGGAACCCAAUAGAGGGAAACUCGUCGUGUGCUGUCAAAGGAAGAAAUUCACGCUGUGGGAGAGGCCAUAACUGCUGGUGGCAUUUGCAGCUG
rnacentral:lncRNA from 1 species